rnacentral:misc_RNA from 1 species
AAGUCGUAACAAGGUCUCCGUUGGUGAACCAGCGGAGGGAUCAUUACCGAGUUUACAACUCCCAAACCCAAUGUGAACGUUACCAAACUGUUGCCUCGGCGGGAUCUCUGCCCCGGGUGCGUCGCAGCCCCGGACCAAGGCGCCCGCCGGAGGACCAACCAAAACUCUUUUGUAUACCCCCUCGCGGGUUUUUUAUAUCUGAGCCAUCUCGGCGCCUCUCGUAGGCGUUUCGAAAAUGAAUCAAAACUUUCAACAACGGAUCUCUUGGUUCUG